CAGAUAAGGAAAUAGGUUCAAAGGCAAAGGUUCAAGGUCUUACAAUUACUAAGAGACAGAGCUGGGACUGUGACCUGGACCCCUCGACUCCAAAGUUCAUGUUUCACAGGCAUGCACCACCAUGCCCCGCUAAUUAAAAUUAAAAAAGAAUUUAGAGAUGGGGUCUUGCUAUGUUGCCCAGACUGGUCUUGAACUCCUGGCCUCAAGCAAUCCUCCCACCUUGGCCUCCCAAAGUGCUGAGAUUACAGGCAUGAGCCACUGCACCCAGCCAAUGAUCUAUAUUUUAAGUUUGUCUCUCCUAGUAGAAAAUUCCUUGAAAAUAGGAGACAAAUUUCUCUCUCUCACUUCCUUUUUUACCUUUAACCUUUCUCUCCCUACCUUAGCCACUCAUUCAAACAUUUAUUCAGCACUAUGUGCCAGGCUCUGUGCUUGGGCUGAGCAAUAAGCAGUGACUAAGGCAGGCUCAGCCCUUGGGCCCUUGGGCAGCCUAGUCCAGUAGGACAGACAGACUGUGAACAGGGGUUGUAAGGAUCCUGUGCACCAGGAGAAAGGAGAGGAACCAGCGCUGUGGAGAACACAGCCAUGGCAAAGCAACCCAACCCAGGAGGGCAGUGCCUGGCUUCAAGAGGAAAUGAAGUUUAAUCUGAGAUCUGGAGCAUGAGUAGGAUCUGGCUAGGUGAAAUAGGUGUUUACUUUGUGAUAAAUUCACUGAGCUGUACAUAUAUGUUUGUUCUUCUGUGCAAAAAGCAAAGUUCAAAAAAAGAAAAAACACACCCCAAAUAAAAAGGGGUCACCUGACAUUUAAUAAAAUGUCCUAACAUGAGAGACAGAUGGAUCAAAGUAACUAGAAAAAACAAACUUGUCAGAUAUAAGGACCAAGCAAAGAGCAGAACAGGAUUGAAAGAGACAGACAGAAAGAGAGAGAGAGAGAGUGAAUAUCCAGGCCCAGAUAUCUGCCUUAGUCUAGCCGACAAAAGGUGCUCACAAAAGUUUGUGGUCCUAAUGACAGACUGAUUAUUUCCAAGGCUUGUGCUGGAGUGAGUGGACUUGGUGCUGUGGU
rnacentral:lncRNA from 1 species